rnacentral:rRNA from 1 species
UAAUACGUAGGUGGCAAGCGUUACUCGGAAUCACUAGGCGUAAAGCGCAGGUAGGAGGUUGGAUAAGUCUCUUGUGAAAGCUCCCGGCUUAACUGGGAGAGGUCAAGGGAAACUGUUCGGCUAGAGUGUGGUAGAGGAAGAUGGAAUUCCCGGUGUAGCGGUGAAAUGCGUAGAUAUCGGGAGGAAUACCUAUGGCGAAAGCAGUCUUCUGGACCAUCACUGACUCUGAUCUGCGAAAGCUAGGGGAGCAAACAGGAUUAGAUACCCUGGUAGUCCUAGCCCUAAACGAUGCUCAUUAGGUGUGGGAGGUAUCGACCCCUUCCGCGCCGUAGCUAACGCAUUAAAUGAGCCGCCUGGGGAGUACGGCCGCAAGGUUG